rnacentral:rRNA from 1 species
GAUGAACGCUAGCGGGAGGCUUAACACAUGCAAGUCGAGGGGUAACAUGAGGUAGCAAUACUUUGAUGACGACCGGCGCACGGGUGAGUAACACGUAUGCAACCUACCCUGUACAGGGGGAUAGCCCGGAGAAAUUCGGAUUAAUACCCCAUAAAGAUAUUUAGAGGCAUCUUUAAAUAUUUAAAGUUUCGACGGUACGGGAUGGGCAUGCGCAACAUUAGCUAGUUGGUAGGGUAACGGCCUACCAAGGCGAAGAUGUUUAGGGGACCUGAGAGAGUGAGCCCCAACACUGGUACUGAGACACGGACCAGACUCCUACGGGAGGCAGCAGUGAGGAAUAUUGGUCAAUGGGCGUAAGCCUGAACCAGCCAUCCCGCGUGAAGGAAGAAGGCGCUAUGCGUUGUAAACUUAUUUUCCGGGGGAAGAAAACCCGCUACGAGUAGCGGCUUGCCGGUACCCUGGGAAUAAGCAUCGGCUAACUCCGUGCCAGCCGCCGCCGUAAAAC